GGGUGCUAUAAUGCAGUCGAACGCACAGCGAAAGGUGCUUGCACCUUUCAAGUGAGUGGCGAACGGGUGAGUAACACGUGGACAACCUGCCUCAAGGCUGGGGAUAACAUUUGGAAACAGAUGCUAAUACCGAAUAAAACUCAGUGUCGCAUGACACAAAGUUAAAAGGCGCUUUGGCGUCACCUAGAGAUGGAUCCGCGGUGCAUUAGUUAGUUGGUGGGGUAAAGGCCUACCAAGACAAUGAUGCAUAGCCGAGUUGAGAGACUGAUCGGCCACAUUGGGACUGAGACACGGCCCAAACUCCUACGGGAGGCUGCAGUAGGGAAUCUUCCACAAUGGGCGAAAGCCUGAUGGAGCAACGCCGCGUGUGUGAUGAAGGCUUUCGGGUCGUAAAGCACUGUUGUAUGGGAAGAACAGCUAGAAUAGGGAAUGAUUUUAGUUUGACGGUACCAUACCAGAAAGGGACGGCUAAAUACGUGCCAGCAGCCGCGGUAAUACGUAUGUCCCGAGCGUUAUCCGGAUUUAUUGGGCGUAAAGCGAGCGCAGACGGUUGAUUAAGUCUGAUGUGAAAGCCCGGAGCUCAACUCCGGAAUGGCAUUGGAAACUGGUUAACUUGAGUGCAGUAGAGGUAAGUGGAACUCCAUGUGUAGCGGUGGAAUGCGUAGAUAUAUGGAAGAACACCAGUGGCGAAGGCGGCUUACUGGACUGUAACUGACGUUGAGGCUCGAAAGUGUGGGUAGCAAACAGGAUUAGAUACCCUGGUAGUCCACACCGUAAACGAUGAACACUAGGUGUUAGGAGGUUCCGCCUCUUAGUGCCAAGCUAACGCAUUAAGUGUUCCGCCUGGGGAGUACGACCGCAAGGUUGAAACUCAAAGGAAUUGACGGGGACCCGCACAAGCGGGGGAGCAUGUGGGUUAAUUCGAAGCA
rnacentral:rRNA from 1 species